rnacentral:rRNA from 1 species
GAUGAACGCUGGCGGCGUGCCUAAUACAUGCAAGUCGAGCGAACAGAUGAGGAGCUUGCUCCUCUGACGUUAGCGGCGGACGGGUGAGUAACACGUGGAUAACCUACCUAUAAGACUGGGAUAACUUCGGGAAACCGGAGCUAAUACCGGAUAAUAUAUUGAACCGCAUGGUUCAAUAGUGAAAGACGGUUUUGCUGUCACUUAUAGAUGGAUCCGCGCCGCAUUAGCUAGUUGGUAAGGUAACGGCUUACCAAGGCAACGAUGCGUAGCCGACCUGAGAGGGUGAUCGGCCACACUGGAACUGAGACACGGUCCAGACUCCUACGGGAGGCAGCAGUAGGGUAUCUUCCGCAAUGGGCGAAAGCCUGACGGAGCAACGCCGCGUGAGUGAUGAAGGUCUUCGGAUCGUAAAACUCUGUUAUUAGGGAAGAACAAAUGUGUAAGUAACUAUGCACGUCUUGACGGUACCUAAUCAGAAAGCCACGGCUAACUACGUG